CAAUAGCGUAUAUUUAAGUUGUUGCAGUUAAAAAGCUCGUAGUUGGAUUUCGGUUAAGAGUGACCGGUCCGCCGUUUGGUGUGCACUGGUUGGUUUUAACUUCCUGUAGAGGACGUGCUCUGGGUUUAACGACCUGGACUCGGAGUCUACGUGGUUACUUUGAAAAAAUUAGAGUGUUCAAAGCGGGCUUACGCUUGAAUAUUUCAGCAUGGAAUAACACUAUAGGACUCCUGUCCUAUUUCGUUGGUCUCGGGACGGGAGUAAUGAUUAAGAGGAACAGUUGGGGGCAUUCGUAUUUCAUUGUCAGAGGUGAAAUUCUUGGAUUUAUGAAAGACGAACUUCUGCGAAAGCAUUUGCCAAGGAUGUUUUCAUUAA
rnacentral:rRNA from 1 species